rnacentral:rRNA from 1 species
AGUGAACGCUGGCGGUAGGCCUAACACAUGCAAGUCGAACGGCAGCACAGUAAGAGCUUGCUCUUACGGGUGGCGAGUGGCGGACGGGUGAGGAAUACAUCGGAAUCUACUUUUUCGUGGGGGGUAACGUAGGGAAACUUACGCUAAUACCGCAUACGACCUACGGGUGAAAGCAGGGGAUCUUCGGACCUUGCGCGAUUGAAUGAGCCGAUGUCGGAUUAGCUAGUUGGCGGGGUAAAGGCCCACCAAGGCGACGAUCCGUAGCUGGUCUGAGAGGAUGAUCAGCCACACUGGAACUGAGACACGGUCCAGACUCCUACGGGAGGCAGCAGUGGGGAAUAUUGGACAAUGGGCGCAAGCCUGAUCCAGCCAUACCGCGUGGGUGAAGAAGGCCUUCGGGUUGUAAAGCCCUUUUGUUGGGAAAGAAAAGCAGCAGGUUAAUACCCCGCUGUUCUGACGGUACCCAAAGAAUAAGCGCCGGCUAACUUCGUG